rnacentral:rRNA from 1 species
AGUGAACGCUGGCGGUAGGCCUAACACAUGCAAGUCGAACGGCAGCACAGUAAGAGCUUGCUCUUACGGGUGGCGAGUGGCGGACGGGUGAGGAAUACAUCGGAAUCUACUUUUUCGUGGGGGAUAACGUAGGGAAACUUACGCUAAUACCGCAUACGACCUACGGGUGAAAGCAGGGGAUCUUCGGACCUUGCGCGAUUGAAUGAGCCGAUGUCGGAUUAGCUAGUUGGCGGGGUAAAGGCCCACCAAGGCGACGAUCCGUAGCUUGUCUGAGAGGAUGAUCAGCCACACUGGAACUGAGACACGGUCCAGACUCCUACGGGAGGCAGCAGUGGGGAAUAUUGGACAAUGGGCGCAAGCCUGACCCAGCCAUACCGCGUGGGUGAAGAAGGCCUUCGGGUUGUAAAGCCCUUUUGUUGGGAAAGAAAAGCAGCAUGUGAAUACCCCGCUGUUCUGACGGUACCCAAAGAAUAAGCACCGGCUAACUUCGUG